rnacentral:ncRNA from 1 species
CCACGAAAAAGGCAAACCAUCGCGAAAGCAUGGGACGCAAAGCCACCGGCCUUCUUCCUGUUAAGACAGGAAAUGGCAGCGGGGUUGCCGAA